rnacentral:rRNA from 1 species
AUUGAACGCUGGCGGCAGGCCUAACACAUGCAAGUCGAGCGGAUGAAGGGAGCUUGCUCCUGGAUUCAGCGGCGGACGGGUGAGUAAUGCCUAGGAAUCUGCCUGGUAGUGGGGGAUAACGUCCGGAAACGGGCGCUAAUACCGCAUACGUCCUGAGGGAGAAAGUGGGGGAUCUUCGGACCUCACGCUAUCAGAUGAGCCUAGGUUGGAUUAGCUAGUUGGUGGGGUAAAGGCCUACCAAGGCGACGAUCCGUAACUGGUCUGAGAGGAUGAUCAGUCACACUGGAACUGAGACACGGUCCAGACUCCUACGGGAGGCAGCAGUGGGGAAUAUUGGACAAUGGGCGAAAGCCUGAUCCAGCCAUGCCGCGUGUGUGAAGAAGGUCUUCGGAUUGUAAAGCACUUUAAGUUGGGAGGAAGGGCAGUAAGUUAAUACCUUGCUGUUUUGACGUUACCAACAGAAUAAGCACCGGCUAACUUCGU